AUGUCAGGGCACCAGAAGGGCGGCGACAUCGAGGCGGGGACAUCCGGUGGCACUGCCACGGCGCCGGCGCAGGUGCUGUACCCCGGGAUGGCGGAGAGCCCGGAGCUGCGCUGGGCGCUCAUCCGGAAGAUCUACGUCAUCCUCUCCCUGCAGCUGCUCCUCACCGCCGUCGUCGCGGCUGUCGUCGUCAAGGUCCGCGCCAUCCCGCACUUCUUCGUCUCCUCCUACGCCGGCCUCGGGGUCUACAUCUCCAUCCUCAUCCUCCCCUUCAUCGGUGAGAAUUCACACUACCACCGUCUUUUCUGUUACUAA
rnacentral:rRNA from 1 species